UUGAUUCUAGUGAUCUUUGAGAUUUCACCUUUCCAACACUGUUAAUGCUAUUAUAAUAACCCUUCACUUUAUUGGAUCCACUUCUCAAGGACCAUUUUUCUUCAUUUUCUUCAACUUUAUUUGAUUCUGGAUCAAGUUUCUUCACCCCUUUGUCUUCUAAGUCCUCAACAGUUUCUUGGAACAAGCUUUCUAGGUUCUUGACUUGUGCAAUAGAGUUAGUAGCAUUCACAUUAUCAUUAGCACUUUGAACUGGUUUUUCAAUUGAGGUUGCAAUAUUUGCCUCUUCUGUUAGGGUUGAAAGUACUAACAAGAAGUGCAACAAAGAGAAGGGUUGUGGUGAUAAACAAAGGGGAGAGAAAAGAGAGUAACUUGAAGAUAUAAGGAGAAAAGAAGAUGAGGUAUGAAAAGUAGAGAGGGUGAGAAAACAUGUUGAAACAAAAACUGAACAAGUUAGAGAAGUGAUGAACUGAAAACUCAUUCUUCUUAGUGGUUAAGGAAGAAAACUCAGUCAUGUUUUUUUGUUGGUUUAUGUUGGAACUGUUUUUGUUUGGUUUGGUUUGGUUUAGUAGGAAAAUGUAGCAAUGGUGUUAUGUUAUGUUGUGUUGUGAUGAUUUUGCUUUUGGAAAUAGAGAAUAAAGUGUGGAAUUGGAAGAAGUGAGAGUGGCGUGAAUAUAGGGAAGAGAUUGGUAAGAGAUUAUGAUUAAGGAACAUUUGGAUUUGUGAAUAAAAAGCAGCUUUAGAAACUUUUUUCCUUUCUUGUCUAUAACCAACAACAACCACUUUUACCACCUUUUCAUGUGUCAUGCCCAAAAUAAACUAUUUUAUAGUUAUUGGAUGAAAAUUUUUAGUUAUCGGUUAGUAUAGAAGUCGCGAUGAUGCAAUAUAAUUUGUGGUUGAGGUAAAUUCGGAUUAAGCGAAUUUGUGGUGAGUUUGAUUUCUAGGAGUGUCGAGUGAGGAUCAACUGCUCCAAAAUGAUUAUGUUCCCAUGUUAUGUCAUGUAG